UACAGAGGGUGCGAGCGUUAAUCGGAAUUACUGGGCGUAAAGCGUGCGUAGACGGUUAUCUAAGUCGGAUGUGAAAGCCCCGGGCUCAACCUGGGAAUGGCAAUGGAUACUGGCAAGCUAGAGUGCGGUAGAGGGUAGUGGAAUUCCCGGUGUAGCGGUGAAAUGCGUAGAGAUCGGGAGGAACACCAGUGGCGAAGGCGGCUACCUGGACCAGCACUGACACUGAGGCACGAAGGCGUGGGGAGCAAACAGG
rnacentral:rRNA from 1 species